rnacentral:rRNA from 1 species
CCUACGGGAGGCCGCAGUGGGGAAUAUUGCGCCAUGGGCGAAAGCCUGACGCAGCGACGCCGCGUGAGGGAUGAAGGCUUUCGGGUUGUACACUUCUUUUGUCAGGGAAGAGUAGAAGACGGUACCUGACGAAUCAGCCACGGCUAACUACGUGCCAGCAGCCGCGGUAAUACGUAGGUGGCAAGCGUUGUCCGGAUUUACUGGGUGUAAAGGGCGUGUAGCCGGGUUGACAAGUCAGAUGUGAAAUCCUGCGGCUUAACCGCAGAACUGCAUUUGAAACUGUUGAUCUUGAGUACUGGAGAGGCAGACGGAAUUCGUAGUGUAGCGGUGAAAUGCGUAGAUAUUAGGAGGAACACCAGUGGCGAAGGCGGUCUGCUGGACAGCAACUGACGGUGAGGCGCGAAAGCGUGGGGAGCAAACAGGAUUAGAUACCCGAGUAGUC